GAGGGUAUAGCUCAGUGGUAGAGCACAUGCUUAGCAUGCACGAGGUCCUGGGUUCAAAAUCCCAGUGCAUUCA
rnacentral:tRNA from 1 species